ACAUCUGUCACUGUGUGUGUCUGCUAUCUCUGUGAGGACCAGUGUCAGUGUACGACCUCCACUGUGAGGACAUUAUGUGUGUUUGUACAGUGAUAAUAAAGUUGUGUGUUUGUACAGUGUUAAUAAAGUUUUGUGUUUGUACAGUGUUAAUAAAGUUGUGUGUUUGUACAGUGUUAAUAAAGUUGUGUUUGUACAGUGUUAAUAAAGUUUUGUGUUUGUACAGUGUUAAUAAAGUUGUGUGUUUGUACAGUGAUAAUAAAGUUGUGUGUCUGUACAGUGUUAAUAAAGUUGUGUUUGUACAGUGUUAAUAAAGUUGUGUGUUUGUACAGUGUUAAUAAAGUUGUGUUUGUACAGUGUUAAUAAAGUUGUGUUUGUACAGUGUUAAUAAAGUUGUGUGUUUGUACAGUGUUAAUAAAGUUGUGUGUUUGUACAGUGUUAAUAAAGUUGUGUGUUUGUACAGUGUUAAUAAAGUUGUGUUUGUACAGUGUUAAUAAAGUUUUGUGUUUGUACAGUGUUAAUAAAGUUGUGUUUGUACAGUGUUAAUAAAGUUGUGUGUUUGUACGGUGUUAAUAAAGUUGUGUUUGUACAGUGUUAAUAAAGUUGUGUGUUUGUACAGUGAUAAUAAAGUUGUGUGUUUGUACAGUGUUAAUAAAGUUGUGUUUGUACAGUGUUAAUAAAGUUGUGUGUUUGUACAGUGUUAAUAAAGUUGUGUUUGUACAGUGUUAAUAAAGUUUUGUGUUUGUACAGUGUUAAUAAAGUUGUGUGUUUGUACAGU